UACGUAGGGUGCAAGCGUUAUCCGGAAUUAUUGGGCGUAAAGAGCUCGUAGGCGGUUUGUCGCGUCUGCUGUGAAAACCCGAGGCUCAACCUCGGGCCUGCAGUGGGUACGGGCAGACUAGAGUGCGGUAGGGGAGAUUGGAAUUCCUGGUGUAGCGGUGGAAUGCGCAGAUAUCAGGAGGAACACCGAUGGCGAAGGCAGAUCUCUGGGCCGUAACUGACGCUGAGGAGCGAAAGCGUGGGAGCGAACAGG
rnacentral:rRNA from 1 species